rnacentral:rRNA from 1 species
UACGUAGGGACCGAGCGUUGUCCGGAUUCAUUGGGCGUAAAGAGCUCGUAGGCGGCUGUUCAAGUCGAACGUGAAAACUCGGAGCUCAACUCCGAGCCUGCGUUCGAUACUGGACGGCUAGAGUCUGGUAGGGGGAUCUGGAAUUCCUGGUGUAGCGGUGAAAUGCGCAGAUAUCAAGAGGAACACCUGAGGUGAAGACGGGUUGCUGGGCUGAUACUGACGCUGAGGCGCGAAAGCGUGGGGAGCGAACAGG